rnacentral:rRNA from 1 species
AAUCCAUAGGUUAAUGAGGCGAACCGGGGGAACUGAAACAUCUAAGUACCCCGAGGAAAAGAAAUCAACCGAGAUUCCCCCAGUAGCGGCGAGCGAACGGGGAGGAGCCCAGAGCCUGAAUCAGCAUGUGUGUUAGUGGAAGCGUCUGGAAAGGCGCGCGAUACAGGGUGACAGCCCCGUACACAAAAGCGCAUGUGCUGUGAGCUCGAUGAGUAGGGCGGGACACGUGGUAUCCUGUCUGAAUAUGGGGGGACCAUCCUCCAAGGCUAAAUACUCCUGACUGACCGAUAGUGAACCAGUACCGUGAGGGAAAGGCGAAAAGAACCCCGGCGAGGGGAGUGAAAAAGAACCUGAAACCGUGUACGUACAAGCAGUGGGAGCCCCACCACUAAGCCAGUGGUGAACUCC